rnacentral:rRNA from 1 species
GAUGAACGCUGGCGGCGUGCCUAAUACAUGCAAGUCGAGCGAACGGACGAGAAGCUUGCUUCUCUGAUGUUAGCGGCGGACGGGUGAGUAACACGUGGAUAACCUACCUAUAAGACUGGGAUAACUUCGGGAAACCGGAGCUAAUACCGGAUAAUAUUUUGAACCGCAUGGUUCAAAAGUGAAAGACGGUCUUGCUGUCACUUAUAGAUGGAUCCGCGCUGCAUUAGCUAGUUGGUAAGGUAACGGCUUACCAAGGCAACGAUGCAUAGCCGACCUGAGAGGGUGAUCGGCCACACUGGAACUGAGACAGGGUCCAGACUCCUACGGGAGGGGGCAGUAGGGAAUGUUCCGCAAUGGGCGAAAGCCUGACGGAGCAACGCCGCGUGAGUGAUGAGGGUCUUCGGAUCGUAAAACUCUGUUAUUAGGGAAGAACAUAUGUGUAAGUAACUGUGCACAUCUUGACGGUACCUAAUCAGAAAGCCACGGCUAACUACGUG